GCGCCCGAGGGUCUGGACGCCGCCACCUACCGCGUGGUGCAGGUGCCCACAUUUAACAUGAUCGUCGCGUUUCGGGCGCU
rnacentral:tRNA from 1 species